GACGAACGCUGGCGGCGUGCCUAAUACAUGCAAGUAGAACGCUGAAGGAGGAGCUUGCUUCUCUGGAUGAGUUGCGAACGGGUGAGUAACGCGUGGGUAACCUGCCUGGUAGCGGGGGAUAACUAUUGGAAACGAUAGCUAAUACCGCAUAACAGUAGAUAUCGCAUGAUAUCUACUUGAAAGGUGCAAUUGCAUCACUACCAGAUGGACCUGCGUUGUAUUAGCUAGUUGGUGAGGUAACGGCUCACCAAGGCGACGAUACAUAGCCGACCUGAGAGGGUGAUCGGCCACACUGGGACUGAGACACGGCCCAGACUCCUACGGGAGGCAGCAGUAGGGAAUCUUCGGCAAUGGACGGAAGUCUGACCGAGCAACGCCGCGUGAGUGAAGAAGGUUUUCGGAUCGUAAAGCUCUGUUGUAAGAGAAGAACGAGUGUGAGAGUGGAAAGUUCACACUGUGACGGUAUCUUACCAGAAAGGGACGGCUAACUACGUG
rnacentral:rRNA from 1 species